rnacentral:lncRNA from 1 species
CAUCCUGCUUCUACCCUACAGUACCCUAAAGGAUACAGCUUUUUUCCUCUAAUGUUUUAUUUUUAAAAGUUUUAGACAUACAUAAAGUUGAUGGAGUACUGCAAUGAAUGAAUGCCCAUAUAUCCUGUACCUAGAUUGAACAGCUGACAACUGUCAAGAACUGUCCCCUGCCAUUUCACCUGAGCUGACCUGAUCUCCCCAGGGGAAUGAGCCUCGUCUUGCAAGUCCCCUUCUUUGGGUCCCUGGCAGCGCUGCUGCAGGAUACAAGGAACAGGAUGCUAUGACGAGAUAUGCAUUGAGAAGCUUCAGUCCUGCCUCCAUCCUUAUCUUCUUCUCCCUGGACCAAAAGUGAUAAUUGUCAUUUGAUCCUUAUUUAUUUUUAGAAAUAAAACUC